rnacentral:misc_RNA from 1 species
CCCAGGACCCCGCAUGAUCGUUUUGCUGGUGAGAUUUGUCUUGCAUACUUGUAUAUCAAAAGAUAAGGCACCCCAAUUAUAUUUUUUUAGUGUAUUCAUCAGAUAUGAUGGUAUGAUGGGGCUUAAAUCAUCUGUGAUCCCAGCAUUUAUCAAUAUAUCAAGAUGUAAUGCUGUGAUCUUUCCGCUCGACUUGAAUCCUACACUGUAUGUUACUUUCAUUGGGUGUCGUCCUCCUGUCAUUAUCAUGUCACUGUUCCGGUUGACAUAUAUCCUGACAGGUCUUCUCAACUUGUAUGCUGCUAGUGCACAGGCUGUGGAAACAGGCAUUGCUUUGACAUACUUGCCCCCAAAGGCACCUCCAAGCCUUCUUGUAAUUACGCGGAUGUUGUGUGCAGGAACACCAAGACAACUGGCAAUCAUACUCUGUGAAUUCUCAGGGCACUGGCUUGAAGUAUAAACAACCAUGCAGUUGUCUUCAUCUGGAAUUGCGAGGGCAGUCUGUGUCUCCAUAUAGAAAUGGUACUCGGAACCGAAUCUUAACUCAGCAGAGAGAAUUUUUUGAUCAGCUUCAGCCAUUCCUUUUGUGAAAUCGCCAAUCUGUUCAGGCUGAAAAGGUGGAGGGACUUGGAUAAAACUAGAUUUCUCAACAGCUUCCUCAACAGUUAAAAUGGCCGAAUCUACAUUUGUGGUGUCGUAUUCAAUGAGGGCCGUUGUUGCAGCCACAUCUGCAGACCUCUGACUGUCAGCAACCACAAAUGCAAUUCUAUCACCAGCACAACGGGAGAGAUCUUCAGCAAAUAAGGGCUCGGAGCCAAAUGGUGUAAGAGCUCCUGUAUUUGCCCCUCCUGUUGGGAUAUCUUUGUAAGUAAUUAUGGUGGUGUCUGUUAAAUGAUUAGGCUCAAGAUGGAUUCCCUUGACACCAGCUAAUGGCUUUGUACUGUAGAUAAACGCUCCAUGCAAGCAGUUUGGUGGUGA